UGAGGAAUAUUGGUCAAUGGGCGAGAGCCUGAACCAGCCAAGUCGCGUGAGGGAAGACGGUCCUAUGGAUUGUAAACCUCUUUUGUCGGGGAGCAAAUGCAGCUACGAGUAGCUGAGAGGAGAGUACCCGAAGAAAAAGCAUGGCUAACUCCGUGCCAGCAGCCGCGGUAAUACGGAGGAUGCGAGCGUUAUCCGGAUUUAUUGGGUUUAAAGGGUGCGCAGGCGAGGCGGCAAGUCAGCGGUAAAAUUUCGGAGCUCAACUCCGGAGAGCCGUUGAAACUGCCCACUAGAGUGGGCGAGAAGUAUGCGGAAUGCGUGGUGUAGCGGUGAAAUGCAUAGAUAUCACGCAGAACUCUGAUUGCGAAGGCAGCAUACCGGCGCCUGACUGACGCUCAUGCACGAAAGCGUGGGUAUCGAACAGGAUUAGAUACC
rnacentral:rRNA from 1 species